CUUUCAUGCAAUGGAAGAAAUUUAUGUCAAUACUGAACAUCUCAAAUGUGUCAACCCAACACAUUCAACAAAUCACACAGGUCAAAGGAGUUUCUAUUUGGUUAUUAUUUUGUGUCUGAGCCUGCUGAGUGUCUUCCUGUUGGCUGGACUUGUCACUCUUGGUUUCUUCUAUCAUGAUUCAAGGAAACUUCUGUCUGCUAUGAAUAACCGAC